AGCAUUGUAGCUCAAUGGAAGAGCCCUUGCCUAGUGUGCAUGAGGCCCUGGGUUUGACACCCGGCACUACCA
rnacentral:tRNA from 1 species